rnacentral:rRNA from 1 species
UUGACCUCGGAUCAGGUAGGGACACCCACUGAACUUAAGCAUAUCAAUAAC